UCUAGAACUCAAGAUAUGGGCUGAACACUGAACAGUGUCUGAGCUGCAGGACAGAUUCAGACUUCUCUGUUGUUGCUACAAUUUGGACUUGAAAACGGUCUUUUUAAAUCUUAGACUCCGCAUGAAAGUUUUAGGCCUAUGUCUUAGCUUUCAAUC
rfam:Populus trichocarpa scaffold_11_contig_565, whole genome shotgun sequence.